rnacentral:tRNA from 1 species
AGCUCCGUAGUGAAGUUCACGGUGAGUUGCAAGCUCAUUAAUGUACAUUAAGCAUGUGCCGGAGUUU